rnacentral:tRNA from 1 species
GGGUGAUUGACCCGAGCGGCAAAGGGGGCGGAUUGUAGUUCCGCCGCGCGCGAGCGCUUCGGGGGUUCGAGUCCCUCAUCACCCA